rnacentral:rRNA from 1 species
ACUCCUACGGGAGGCAGCAGUGGGGAAUAUUGGACAAUGGGCGCAAGCCUGAUCCAGCCAUGCCGCGUGAGUGAUGAAGGCCCUAGGGUUGUAAAGCUCUUUCACCGGUGAAGAUAAUGACGGUAACCGGAGAAGAAGCCCCGGCUAACUUCGUGCCAGCAGCCGCGGUAAUACGAAGGGGGCUAGCGUUGUUCGGAUUUACUGGGCGUAAAGCGCACGUAGGCGGACUAUUAAGUCAGGGGUGAAAUCCCGGGGCUCAACCCCGGAACUGCCUUUGAUACUGGUAGUCUUGAGUUCGAGAGAGGUGAGUGGAAUUCCGAGUGUAGAGGUGAAAUUCGUAGAUAUUCGGAGGAACACCAGUGGCGAAGGCGGCUCACUGGCUCGAUACUGACGCUGAGGUGCGAAAGCGUGGGGAGCAAAUAGGAUUAGAAACCCCGGUAGUCCCAUGA